rnacentral:rRNA from 1 species
UGGGGAAUUUUGGACAAUGGGCGAAAGCCUGAUCCAGCAAUGCCGCGUGUGUGAAGAAGGCCUUCGGGUUGUAAAGCACUUUUGUCCGGAAAGAAAUCCUUGGCUCUAAUACAGUCGGGGGAUGACGGUGCCGGAAGAAUAAGCACCGGCUAACUACGUGCCAGCAGCCGCGGUAAUACGUAGGGUGCAAGCGUUAAUCGGAAUUACUGGGCGUAAAGCGUGCGCAGGCGGUUUGCUAAGACCGAUGUGAAAUCCCCGGGCUCAACCUGGGAACUGCAUUGGUGACUGGCAGGCUAGAGUAUGGCAGAGGGGGGUAGAAUUCCACGUGUAGCAGUGAAAUGCGUAGAGAUGUGGAGGAAUACCGAUGGCGAAGGCAGCCCCCUGGGCCAAUACUGACGCUCAUGCACGAAAGCGUGGGGAGCAAACAGGAUUAGAUACCCUGGUAGUCCACGCCCUAAACGAUGUCAACUAGUUGUUGGGGAUUCAUUUCCUUAGUAACGUAGCUAACGCGUGAAGUUGACCGCCUGGGGAGUACGGUCGCAAGAUUAAAAGCUCAAAUG